GACGAACGCUGGCGGCGUGCUUAACACAUGCAAGUCGAACGGAAAGGCCCUGCUUUUGUGGGGUGCUCGAGUGGCGAACGGGUGAGUAACACGUGAGUAACCUGCCCUUGACUUUGGGAUAACUUCAGGAAACUGGGGCUAAUACCGGAUAGGAGCUCCUGCUGCAUGGUGUGGGUUGGAAAGUUUCGGCGGUUGGGGAUGGACUCGCGGCUUAUCAGCUUGUUGGGGGGGUAGUUGCUUACCAAGGCUUUGACGGGUAGCCGGCCUGAGAGGGUGACCGGCCACAUUGGGACUGAGAUGCGGCCCAGACUCCUACGGGAGGGAGCAGUGGGGAAUAUUGCACUAUGGGCGGAAGCCUGAUGCAGCAACGCCGCGUGCGGGAUGACGGCCUUCGGGUUGUAAACCGCUUUCGCCUGUGACGAAGCGUGAGUGACGGUAAUGGGUAAAGAAGCACCGGCUAACUACGUG
rnacentral:rRNA from 1 species